UAUCAGGCACCCUACCAUACCAUAUCAGGUACCAUACCAUAUCAGGCACCAUACCAUAUCAGGCACCAUACCAUAUCAGGCACCAUACCAUAUCAGGUACCAUACCAUAUCAGGUACCAUACCAUACCAGGUACCAUACCAUAUCAGGUACCAUACCAUACCAUAUCAGGUACCAUACCAUACCAUAUCAGGUACCAUACCAUAUCAGGUACCAUACCAUAUCAGGUACCAUACCAUACCAUAUCAGGCACCAUACCAUAUCAGAUACCAUACCAUAUCAGGUACCAUACCAUAUCAGGUACCAUACCAUAUCAGAUACCA
ensembl:lncRNA